ACUCCUACGGAGGCAGCAGUGGGAAUCUUAGACAAUGGGGGAAAGCCCUCGAUCUAGCCAUGCCGCGUGAGCGAUGAAGGCCUUAGGGUUGUAAAAGCUCUUUCAGCGGGGAAGAUAAUGACGGUACCCGCAGAAGAAGCCCCGGCUAACUCCGUGCCAGCAGCCGCGGUAAUACGGAGGGGCUAGCGUUGUUCGGAAUUACUGGGCGUAAAGCGCGCGUAGGCGGAUUGGAAAGUCAGAGGUGAAAUCCC
rnacentral:rRNA from 1 species